AACGAACGCUGGCGGCAUGCCUAACACAUGCAAGUCGAACGAGACCUUCGGGUCUAGUGGCGCACGGGUGCGUAACGCGUGGGAACCUGCCCUUAGGUUCGGAAUAACUCCCCGAAAGGGGUGCUAAUACCGGAUAAUGUCUUCGGACCAAAGAUUUAUCGCCUUUGGAGGGGCCCGCGUUGGAUUAGCUAGUUGGUAGGGUAAAAGCCUACCAAGGCGACGAUCCAUAGCUGGUCUGAGAGGAUGGUCAGCCACACUGGGACUGAGACACGGCCCAGACUCCUACGGGAGGCAGCAGUGGGGAAUAUUGGACAAUGGGCGAAAGCCUGAUCCAGCAAUGCCGCGUGAGUGAUGAAGGCCUUAGGGUUGUAAAGCUCUUUUACCCGGGAUGAUAAUGACAGUACCGGGAGAAUAAGCUCCGGCUAACUCCGUG
rnacentral:rRNA from 1 species